UCUUUUGGGGAUUCCAGCUGUUAUGCUUGGCAGCUAAGUGACCCAGUGGAAAAAGAGCUGGCCAGGGAAUCAGAAAAACCUGAGUUCAGAUCCUGCUUCAGACACUUCCCAGCUCUGUCUGCCUCAGUUUUCUCUGCUAUAAAAUGGGAACAACAAUAAUAAUGAAACCUCUCUCCAAGAGAUCGUAAGGAUCUGAUAACACAGGCCAGCAGAAUGUUCAUAACAAGGAAAAACAGGCGACCUCCUGGGGAGAUCAGUCUGGCCUCCUACUGGAAGGACACGGGGUUCUUGAGAAGAACAGGAAAAGGCUAAUCAGAAAAGUUCCGGCUUUGCUGUUGUCCCUGCUGGAUUCCCACAUCAGGAUCCACCAAAGAUUUCCGCCCUUCCUCGCCCAUCCCUCAACCCCCUUGCCCACACAAACACGCCGAUGCACUCAUGUGUGUGCCCUCACACGGAUGCUCCCUCAUCUCUGUUAGCCUCCAUUUCACCACCUGCAAAAUGGGAAUAUUUUUAAGCUUCUACACUUGUACAUACACUUGCACAUAGACAUUCAUUUAUGCACUCACAUAUGUUAGAGGUACAGGAUAUCUUUUGUCUAACUCGCAUUUCAGCUCUCAAAGGUAAUUGUCCCUCUCACAAGGACUAGCCAGGGCUUCUAAGAGCAGCACUUGACCCUGACUCUCUCCAGCUGAGCUCCUCUUCCUUCCUAGCACUCAGAGCCAACCAGUCCCUCCACAGCCCUUGGCUCAUGAAGCCCUUGCUAGCCCACCCUAUAAAAAGUGACCAUCAAAUCACAGUAUUUUAUUUUUGUAAAUCAUAACUUUUUAUUUUCAAAAUACAGACACGGACACUUUUUGAUAUUCACCCCUACAAAACCCUGUGUUCUAAAUUUUUUCCCUUCCUCCCCCAGUUGGCAAGUGAUCCAAUAUAUGUUAAACAUGAAAUCACAGUAUUUUAAAUUAGAAGAGAACCUACAAUCCAUAUAGUUCAAUCCAUACUCAAAAGGGAUCCCCAUCACAACAUACCCAACCUGUGGUCAUCUAGUUAAGACCUCCAUCGAGGAUGAACUCACCCCCUCUUUAGGCAGCCCUUCUAUUCCAGGAUAACUAAUUAUUAGAAAGAUUUUCUCUAAAUCAGACCUGCAUUUAUCUUUUUUUUUUUUUAAACGUCAUAAUUCUUUUCUCUGGGACCAGUAAACAACAUGGAUCUCUCUUCCUUAUGAUAGCCUUUUAAAUAUUUAAACACAUCUAUCAUCUUGGAGGCUUCUCUUCUCAGGUUAAACGUCUUGAGUUGAUGGCAUUGUGGAUAGAGUACAGAUCUGGUCUCAGAUACUACCAAGCUAAGUGAUCCUGAGCAAGUCCCUUAAUACUCUUGCCUCAGUUUCUUCAUCUGUAAAAUGAGCUGGAGAAGGAAAUGGCAGACCACUGCAGUGUCUUUGUCAAGAAAACCCAAAUGGGGUCACAGAGAGACUGAAACAAGUGAACAAGAACAACUGGUUGUGAGUACUAGACCAUCAGCACCUCAAAGUCAACAUGUCCAAGUCUGAAUCCCUUGGCCCCUCCUCUAAAUGACAUCCUUUUAAUUCCCCCUUUUCCUUAUUUCUCCUGAAAGUAUCACCAUUGGGCAGAAAUGUAGCAUAGUGGAAGAGGUUCUAAAUUUUCAGUCAGGAGAUCUGAGUUAAAAUUCUGUCUCUGACAAUACUUGUAUGAUGUUGGUCAAGUCACUUAACCCCAUUUACCUCAAUUUUCUCAUGAGGGGGUUGGAUGGACCCUCCAGAUUACUUCUAACUCUAAAUGUUUGAUCUUCUGAUUCUCCCUGGUACUCAGGCUUGAUAACUCAGAGAUCUUUGAUUCUUCACUCUCUCACUCAUUCCUCUUUCUCUUCAUUCACAUCUAACGGGUUAUUAAGUCCUGUUCAUUUUAAAUUUCUUGUAUAUGUCUUCUUUCUCCCACUUACAGAAUUAUCAUCUUAGCUCAAACCUUAUCACUUUUCUUCACUAUAGAAAUAAUCUUUUAACUGGUGUCUUUCCUUUUCUAACCAAAGAAUAGCCAUCAAUAGUUUGACAUCAACUUGGAAGGAAUUCUCUAGUGGAAUGUCCUAGGGAUUUUUUAAAAUAACUUUUUAUUUACAAGUUAUAUGCAUGGAUAAUUUUACAGCAUUGGCAAUUGCCAAACCUUUUGUUCCAAUUUUUCCCCUCUUUCCCCCCACCUCCUCCCCGAGAUGGCAGGUUAAUCAAUACAUGUUAAAUAUAUUAAAGUAUAAAUUAAAAACAAAAUAAGUAUGCAUGGCCAAACCAUUAUUUUUCUGUACAAAAAGAAUCAGACUCUGAAAUAGUGUACAAUUAAUCUGUGAAGGAAAUCAAAAUGCAGGUGGACAAAAAUAGAGGGAUUGGGAAUUCUAUAUAGUGGUUCAUAAUCAUCUCCUAGAGUUCUUUCUCUGGGUGUAGCUGAAAUCAUCCUUUUGGUCAUUUUUUUCUGAACAAUAAUCUUCUAUAACAUUCAUAUACCACAAUUUAUUGAGCCAUUCUCCAAUUGAUGGGCAUCCACUCAGUUUCCAGUUUCUGGCCACUACAAAGAGGGCUGCUAUAAACAUUCUUGUACAUACAAGUCCCUUUCCCUUCUUUAAAAUCUCAUUAGGACAUAAGCCCAGUAGUAACACUGCUGGAUCAAAGGGUAUGCACAGUUUGAUAACUUUUUGAGCAUAGUUCCUAGGGAUUUUUUUUGACCCUAUGCUGUUUAACAUUUUUAUUAUUAUGUAUUGUGAAGGCACGGAUUAUAUCUUAUCAGAUUUGCAGAUAUUGGAUGACAAUGUUGGGUUUAAUUUAAUAAAAUGAAAUUAAAUAAGAAUAAAUGUAAAGUA